rnacentral:rRNA from 1 species
AUUGAACGCUGGCGGCAGGCCUAACACAUGCAAGUCGAACGAGUGGCGGACGGGUGAGUAAUGUCUGGGAAACUGCCUGAUGGAGGGGGAUAACUACUGGAAACUGUAGCUAAUACCGCAUACCAUCGGAUGUGCCCAGAUGGGAUUAGCUAGUGGGUGGGGUAAUGGCUCACCUAGGCGACGAUCCCUAGCUGGGCUGAGAGGAUGACCAGCCACACUGGAACUGAGACACGGUCCAGACUCCUACGGGAGGCAGCAGUGGGGAAUAUUGGACAAUGGGCGAAAGCCUGAUGCAGCCAUGCCGCGUGUAUGAAGAAGGCCUUCGGGUUGUAAAGUACUUUCAGCGGGGAAGCGUUACCCGCAGAAGAAGCACCGGCUAACUCCGUGCCAGCAGCCGCGGUAAUUC